rnacentral:rRNA from 1 species
AUUAAACGCUGGCGGCAUGCCUAACACAUGCAAGUCGAACGAGACCUUCGGGUCUAGUGGCGCACGGGUGCGUAACGCGUGGGAAUCUGCCCUGGGGUGCGGAAUAACUCGGAGAAAUCCGUGCUAAUACCGCAUAAUGUCUUCGGACCAAAGAUUUAUCGCCCUGGGAUGAGCCCGCGUAGGAUUAGCUAGUUGGUGGGUAAAGGCCUACCAAGGCGACGAUCCUUAGCUGGUCUGAGAGGAUGAUCAGCCACACUGGGACUGAGACACGGCCCAGACUCCUACGGGAGGCAGCAGUGGGGAAUAUUGGACAAUGGGCGAAAGCCUGAUCCAGCAAUGCCGCGUGAGUGAUGAAGGCCCUAGGGUUGUAAAGCUCUUUACCCGGGAUGAUAAUGACAGUACCGGAGAAUAAGCUCCGGCUAACUCCGUGCCAGCAGCCGCGGUAAU